GGCCAGCAGCCGCGGUAAUUCCAGCUCCAAUAGCGUAUACUAAAAUUGUUGCGGUUAAAAAGCUCGUAGUUGCAUUUGUGCGCCGCGCUGUCGGUGCACCGCAUCCGCGGUGAUACUGACACGUCUGCGGAGCAUAUCGUCGGUGAGCCGGCGGUAAUACGCCGGUUCAAUAUCAAAAUCCUAUCGCGGUGCUCUUCGGUGAGUGUCGAGGUGGGCCGACAAUUUUACUUUGAACAAAUUAGAGUGCUCAAAGCGGGCUCAAAAUGCUGCUUGAAUAUUUCGUGCAUGGAAUAAUAGAAUAUGAUCUCGGUUCUAUUUUGUUGGUUUUCAGAACUCCGAGGUAAUGAUUAAUAGGGAUAACUGGGGGCAUUCGUAUUGCGACGUUAGAGGUGAAAUUCUUGGAUCGUCGCAAGACGAACAUCAGCGAAAGCAUUUGCCAAAGGUGUUUUCAUCAAUCAAGAACGAAAGUUAGAGGUUCGAAGGCGAUUAGAUACCGCCCUAGUUCUAACCGUAAAUAUGUCAUCUAGCGAUCCGCCGACGUUACUACAAUGGCUCGGCGGGCAGCUUCCGGGAAACCAAAGAUUUUGGACUCCGGGGGGAGUAUGGUUGCAAAGCUGAAACUUAAAGGAAUUGACGGAAGA
rnacentral:rRNA from 1 species